rnacentral:rRNA from 1 species
UACGGAGGAUGCGAGCGUUACCCGGAUUUAUUGGGUUUAAAGGGUGCGUAGGCGGGCUUUUAAGUCAGCGGUAAAAAUUCGGGGCUCAACCCCGCCCGGCCGUUGAAACUGGGGGCCUUGAGUGGGCGAGAAGAAGGCGGAAUGCGUGGUGUAGCGGUGAAAUGCAUAGAUAUCACGCAGAACCCCGAUUGCGAAGGCAGCCUUCCGGCGCCCUACUGACGCUGAGGCACGAAAGUGCGGGGAUCGAACAGG